rnacentral:lncRNA from 1 species
AUGAAAAUAGUCUAGGACCUCCUCCUCUCGACAAUCACAGAGACAAGAAGCACGUGUGAGUUAUAAAGGAGAAAGCUGCAAAUUUCACCAUUCUCAUCUUUUGAAUUCUUCAAAAUUUCUGACAUCGUAAUGUACAACUUCAAAUCCGCUUUCUCCAACUCUCUCGCUCUCAGCCGCUUGGAGUAAGAUCAGAAACUAUCAAACGGAGCUUAGACAUGUAUAAGAUCGACCUACCUAUUUGCUCACUUUUUUUCCUUUUUCUCAUUAAAGGAAAGGGAACGCUCAGCAAAGGCCAUUACAACGUGAUAUAAAUCCUUAUAAGGGUUUCCACUUGUGGGUAGAUGGAUCCAAAUUUCUCAACCCUUUUGGUUAUCUAUUUUAAUUGAUUAUGAGAUUCCAACGGAAAUUGAGGCUGACGGCGCUUUUAGGUUAAAACUUGGGGAGAGAGAGUCAGCGGCAGGCUACUCUGUUUUCGAUACUAUGAUUGCUCGAAAUAAAAUGUAUGGUCCUUCAAAAUCUUUAUGAGUUACAAAACUUAUUAUGUUCAAUGGGUUUCAUCAUUCUUCUUUAUUUAUUAUGUUAAAUAUCAAUGUUCUGUCACUAAACCCAACUUAUAGUUCUUGUCUUGAUCAAUUUACAUAUAUUAUAUAUGAUUCUCUGCCUUUUGAUUUUUUAUUCAUCCAAAUCAAGUCUUAAAACUUAUACUACUUUAGCUACAAAGCAUAAUGAGUACUUACUACUUAAAACAGAAAUACAAAGACUAAGUGGUAAUAUACGACUUUCUAACACAAUUUAUACAGACAAACCAUGAAAUUUCAGCUCAAAACCCUGCAAAAUUCCCACUGUCGGCGAGUCGUUUGCUGGACCGAACACCUCUAUAUCCGUGGCUCCGGCUCAUGCGAUGCAGACCGAUAAAUUCCGAUUAGAAUAUGUUUCAUCCAUCUUUUCAAGAGCUUAAGUUUCAUGACCAAAAAUCCCACCAAGGGUAAUUGCUGCUAGACUGGUGCAAGAGGCUUGUAUCUGACUUGAAACCUCUCCAAUCAUCAGAUGAUGUCAAGCAGCUAUCAGCUGGUUCAACAAUGUUCAUUAGCUGAUCUGCUUCUUCUUCAAACCCACCAAAAUACUCUCUCUUGAUGUUGUUAUUAUAACCAUCUUCAUCUUCAUGAUCAUGAUCAUGAUGAUCACACGAAACCCCAUGAUGGCCUUUCUCAUCAUACAUCUCCAUCUCCGGUCUAACCUCCUCAGGUUCAUGACACCUCCGGUGGUUCUCUUCGUUUUCUGAUUCAUGAUCUGUGCUACUUAGAGCCACCACAGCUUGAUCACCACAACACUGCCUUUCC